rnacentral:lncRNA from 1 species
AAACAGAGAUGUGUGUGCUGAACUAAAAAAUUCCUACUGAUGUCAGUAAGCCCUCUGUGUCUGAUCUGUCUGUAGGGAUGAGAGUGCCAUGGAUGAGUGCAGCAGAAUAUACACUGGGAACAAUGAGAACCAAUCAAGUGAGAAACUCCAGAGCCGUCUUCACCUCUCCUGCUUUCCUGCUCCCCACCAGCUGAGCCUGGAUCUCCUUGACCAGGGAGCUGAAGGAAUUGGAUUGUUCCUUGGUCUUCUGAGCUACAGCCAUGUGAGUGGAGGUGGGAGUGAAGAGAUGCACAACCUGGAGGUUUCUGAAAAGUGGGCGCUCUGCUAG